rnacentral:rRNA from 1 species
GAUGAACGCUGGCGGCGUGCCUAAUACAUGCAAGUCGAGCGAACAGACGAGGAGCUUGCUCCUUUGACGUUAGCGGCGGACGGGUGAGUAACACGUAGGUAACCUACCUAUAAGACUGGGAUAACUUCGGGAAACCGGAUCUACUACCGGAUAAUAUUUCGAACCGCAUGGUUCGAUAGUGAAAGAUGGCUUUGCUAUCACUUAUAGAUGGACCUGCGCCGUAUUAGCUAGUUGGUAAGGUAACGGCUUACCAAGGCAACGAUACGUAGCCGACCUGAGAGGAUGAUCAGCCACACUGGAACUGAGACACGGUCCAGACUCCUACGGGAGGCAGCAGUAGGGAAUCUUCCGCAAUGGGCGAAAGCCUGACGGAGCAACGCCGCGUGAGUGAUGAAGGUCUUCGGAUCGUAAAACUCUGUUAUUAGGGAAGAACAAACGUGUAAGUAACUGUGCACGUCUUGACGGUACCUAAUCAGAAAGCCACGGCUAACUACGUG